rnacentral:tRNA from 1 species
GGAUGAAUGGUUGAGAGGUUUAAAACAUCAAUUUUGAAAAUUGACAUAAAUUUUAUUUAUCGUAGGUUCGAAUCCUACUUCAUCCG